GCCUUUGUGAUGUAACGGUAGAACACUUGGCUCGUAUUCGAGAGGUCCAGGUUAGAGUCCCGGCGAAGGUA
rnacentral:tRNA from 1 species